rnacentral:lncRNA from 1 species
AUUGGGUGAGAAGUACUGGCUCUGGUCGGCCCAUGAGGUAGAGUGUCUCUGGUAAAGUCUUCCAGGAAGUUGUGGUCCCUUGCUGGGGCUGGGAGGAUGCCACUCGACAUCUUCAAGCCUGUGUAUGUAGCAGCUGAGCAUCUGACUAGAGCUUCUGUCCAAGGACCAGACUUCAUGGUGGCAAACGACUCCAGUUUCCCCAGAGAAGGGUGACUGAUGGGUGGAUCUCUCAAGGUGGCCAAGGGCUUGGAUGUCUGCCAUGACUUUCCAACUGUCUGGUCCAGUCUUCCCAGUUUUGCCAGAGCUGGUGAGGUGAGUGAGCACCAAUGCUGGUCUGGAUUUGGGGAGGGCAGAUGACUUCGUUUGAUGCUUGACUUGCUCAAGGAUCAGCAUGGAGAUCAAUGCCUGCAUCUUCUGUGAUGUAGUGAACACGAUUAAAACAGGAUGGAUAGAUGUUCACCAGACUCUUUCUAGAGCUGAACCGGGGAUUUACCCUCAGUAUCCUGCUUCUAGGUAGUGUGAGCCCACCCUGACUCUCCAAAGUCCUGACGUCCUACAAGGUCUCAAAAUACAAGGACCAUGUCAGCCUCCGCCUGGUUUGCUCUCCUGGCCCCAGUGCCCGGCAACCUUUCAUUCGUUGGCAUUCACUGUGUUCUGCGAGCAUGAGGGAUGUAGCAAAUGUUGGAGAGGAGUGACGUCAUUCUUGUUUCUGGUUGAUGCUACUUUAGGGGCAGGUUUGUGGAGCCUGAAACAUACUUUAAGUGUGUGAAGGGGGUCUUCUUUAAUGUAAAAAAAUACAAAAUGACAAAUUAGGUUUGAAGAUAAUUGUUUAUUUGGAAUGAGUAAAGAAACUGUACCAAAUGACCAGAAGCUUAGAGGUUCAGGGCCCUUCUUUCCAAGUUCUUUGUUUGCCGGAAAUGCUUUCUGAGGAAUGUUUCCUUUGUCUCAGCUGGCUUUCCUUCUGCAUUUAGAGCUCCCUGAAAGUCCCAGAAAUUCCCAGAGCUACAGAGCCUAUGCAUGUAAAGGGCCCCAAACUGAAACCUUCAUUAGCUUCCCAGUAAUCCUGCCUCUGAUGAUUUCACUGGUUACUUCUUGACAACCUGAGAAUUCCUAGAAAGAAGAGGGAUGGGAAUGAGAGGAAAGAGAAAGAUAAGGCUCUUGACCAAGUAAGCCAUGGGUUUUCAUAAAUUCUAGAAACAAUCAGGGACCUCAACUAGACUAUAGCCUGGAAGUGUUGUGACCCUUGCUACUGUGUCAAGCCUCAGUAUAUGUAGAGUUGAAUCCAUUCCCAGGCUCCAUGCUCUACUUGGUGGCAGUCAGGGGGAUAAGGUCAGGUCAAUUGUCCUUUCUCUCUUUCUCUUCCUCCUUGUCCUGUUUUCUCUGGUCUCAGAGAGGGGAGCAAGGUAUGAGCAGCCAAGUCCUUUGUUUCUCUUCCAAAACCUAAAAACAAGUUCUUAUAUAUAGGAGCACAUGUUAGUCAUGUUUUCUUUUGUCUUCUUGGGUCUCUUUGAUUCCCUUAUAGAUAUUUAAGACCAUAUUUGCAUCGUAGCUCAGACCUAAGUCUUGUUGAUAUCAUUUCUAAGAGAAAAGAUCUUUUUUAAAAACGGAUAUACCAAAGUUUAAUUAUUCCGUGUUAUACAUAUUUAUCAGUUUCCAACCUUUUAUUAUUACAAGAACUCUAGCAUGAAUAUCUUUUAAUGUAAAUUGAUAUGGGCAUCUCCAGUUCUUUCCUUAGGAUGGAGUUUAGGCAGUCAAAGGGUAUGAAACUUUUCAAACUCUGGAUCCAUUCUGCUCUUUGGCCACAACACCCAAAGAUGUUUAAAUGCAGUCAUGUGGAUCACGUGACUCCAGUAAAUGAGUUUGGCUUUGUGGAAAGAGUAUGACGGAGGGUUGGGAUAGACAGGAGCCCUCCAGAGAGUAAAUGCUAUUUAAGGGGCCCACGGAGAGUGAAGGAUGGCCCAUGUCGCUGUAACACGGGGGAUUAUGAUGAUGUAACAUAAGAGAGGUAAAAGGUGGGGGGUGCCAUCAGAAUCCCAGAAGGGGAAAGAGAACAUGAGGUUAUCCUCUUCAUGCAAGGGGUGGCGAACUUCACGGAGCUUCAGGAAGAGGUGGGAUUUCCACAGGCCUGGAUGGGCUGGGGGAGUAGGAGAAAGGAAAGCUUUCCAGGAGCAAAGCAGGGAAUCAGGAGCGUGUGGGGCAUGUUUAAGGGAAAAGUGACUGUAUAGUUUUGCUGGAAUGUGAGAGAAUAUGUUGGGAAACAUUUUGUAAUAGACCAGAAAGGAUAAAUUAGGUACAAAUUAUGAAUGUCCUUGAAUCUUGGGCUUAAUAGUUGAUAUGAAAGAGAAUGUGAGGUACUGAGGAAAUCACAGCACUUGGCGGGGAAAGAGCUGAGUUAGGUUAUAACGUAAUUUACUAGAGGACUAACUCUCAGAAAAACUUUAAACAAUGGAGGCUGCCCAAAGAAUCGUGGACUGAUGUCUGAGCCAGUGGUCGCUGGAUUAUGAUGAGGUUCAGAAUAAUGGUGCUCAGUCAUUAAUUCUUGCAAGAAAUGCUCACCCAGUGCCUAGGUCCUAGCGAGGCCGAGGAAACCAGGCAUGUAGAGCUCUGUUCUCCAAGAGUGGACGUGUUGGUGCAGACACCCAGAGAAGACAGGCGUAGUCUAGCCUAAAGGAAAGAAGAUAAUUUCAGAUAGUGAUAAUGACUGUGAAGGGAAAAGAACAGACACUUGGGUAAAGAAUAAGGAGACAGGUAGAAAAGUUGGAUUUUUUGUACUUUAGAUGUGGCAGUUAGGGAAGGCUUCCUGGAGGAGUGAACAGUUGAUGAAAACAAGCCGGAAAGGUGAAGACCUGGGGACUAGAGUUCCAGGCAGUGGUAAGAGGAAGCCCAUCCACGGGGAUCAGAGGGACGGCCAGUGUGGUCAGGGGAUGGGGGAGUCUUUGCAUUGUCAGGAUAGAUGGUAUAGGGCUGUGUGGUCUAGGGAAGCGUUCGUUCUUGAUUCGAAGGGUGAUGGGAAGCCCUGGCUGGCUUAAAGCAGGGGCAGGGCCUAGUUUAUCCUGUGGGAAAAGCAUUGUGGUAGAACAGGAAUGAAAAGGGAGAGACUAGCUCGGGGACCAUUGGGGCAAUUUAGACAAACAAUAGUGGUGGUUCGGGCAGGGUGGUUGUUGGGAGACAGAAACACAUGGUUGGAUCUGGACUAUUUGGAGUGUUAUCGGGAACUUGCUGUUAGAGUAGAUGUGACCGUAGAUAAAAUGCAGAGUGGAAACGCUUUGUACUCUGAGAGCCCUGUAUACACAUGAAGGCGUCACGCAGCCUGUGGUCCUUGGGGAAAGCUGACGGUUUGGAGCUUGGCCGUGCCUGGAAAUGGCCUCCAGCCAGGUAAUCCGGCCAUCGGGGCUCCAGGAGAACCGUUGGAGCCCAGGAAGGAGGGCUCAGGCAGCCCCGCGCGUCUCAGCUUCCACGGGCACACAGAUCACCUGGGGAUCCCUAAGGUGCAGAUUCGGCUCCGUAGAUCAAGGGUAAGACCCAGAAUUCUGCUCCCGGGUGGGGCCACAGCUGCUGGUCUGCGGGUCAUGCUUCCAGAAGCAAAGAGUUCAGGGGAGUCAUUGAGGUCACAUUCCUGUCACGAGGGCUUGAACUGGGGAGGGAGUGGGGAUAUGGAGAAGAGAGCUCUUUCUUUUAUAAUACAGACUGCAAAACAAAGGGGAGGCAUGAAAAAAUGAAGUUUGGAGUCACGGUAACCAAGAAACGAUGGUCCGUAGUAGGUACUGGAAGCAGGAGGAGGUUUGGGGAGGGGAGGAGGAUGGAUUUUCUAAUCCCCACUAUUUUUUCUUGGGCUGUAGCCGGGGGUCUGACUUGAGCACUUGGGUGGGAAACCCUCUUGACCUAUUCAGCCUUGUCUGCGAAGAUGAUGAGCCAAAGGUUUCACUCUCGACGGCUGUGUAUCACACUUGAGCACCCAGAGACCUCAUAUAUUUGAAGGGAAGGAGGAGGGGGACCUUCAUACCACGUAAUUCAGUUGGGAUCUGAACCUGUACAUCACCUUGGACAUCAAGAAGGGCUGUGUUUCCUUGGACCGUAAAGCCUCAGUCCCUGCCUGUUUACUGCUGCGUGUUCUUGAGGCCAGUCCCCCUCCCCACCCCAUCUCCCGCACGUGAUGUGCUGCUAUCUUCAGAUAUUAAUACCAUGGGGCCAAGGAGGAGGACUCGUGCAUCCGUGUGAUAUGAAUAAUAGUAACAACAGUCCACGUUACUGAACUCUUACGUACCAAGCACUGUGCUGCACAUUUUACAGUUUUCAGAACUCAUUCAUUUUAUUCUGAGCACAAAGCCUCCGUGGGGCAAUGGGGUCUGAGACAGCAGGGAUGUCUGGCCUGAUAAUAAACAUCCCAGGUUUUAUGGGUGAAAAAUAGGAGUGUGGGAAAGAUGAUCUUUUAAAGAAAAGAAAAUGCUUUCCAGAAUGGCCCUUGGAGAUGCUUGGAGCAGCCUGGGUACUUUGUGUGCUGAGAUAGAACCUGAGGUUGAGAAAUGUGCUCGGGGCCAGCAGGACCCGCCUCGGUUUGGCUGGGAAGAUGUAGUCACUGGAUGUCUGAGAUAUUACGCAACGUGACAAGAAGGCCAGGCACGAGCUCUCCAUAGGAAUUAUUUCAUCCCUACGGUUUGGGUGUCAAAUAUCCUCCUGGGCCCCUGGGGACCGGAGCUUCCAGGCGGCGUGUGUGGCCGCGCCUGGCGCUCCAGAACCCCCCUCACGCGUGGGGUGACAUCGCCACUAGUGACCCUCGUCCGAGGGUUUUUCAGCCCAACGGCCCCUCCUCACAGGCUGUGCCAACACGUUCCUAUUUUAAGAUUCUUUAGUUGUAAGAAGUGGUGUAUUUCUCCCCACGUCGUCCCGUCCCGGCCAAGCCAGGGCGACUCCCUUUGCUGGUCUCCCAUCUUCUCUCACUUCUGGUCCUGAACUGCUGAACCCAGAGAGGGCUGCCUCCCGGGGCGGGUGGCAGGGUGACGUCAGCCAGGAGGCAGUUCCUCGGCUAAGGGAGCCAAGUCCGCAGACACGAUCUCGGAAGUAGGACAAGUACAUUUUGUUUCUGCGAUUCAACCCAGAGAACUUCUUGGUCCCGGAAGCCUGUGCCAAAUGUGUUUGCGCAACCUCGGGAAGCCGCUUCCAGAAUGCGGGUGAAGAACUUGCCAGGGUUCCAUUUCUUUGGGGAGCGAACAUCCACACAGGGCAGGACUGGUGCUGGCCCAACAUGUCAGCGGGAACCGGGGGCUCAGACCUCAGGGGGGCGAGGGUCCUGCGAGAGGGUCUCCUGCCCAGGCUACACACGAGACCUGGCCGCCGUGCUCCCCGCAGUGGGAACAUGUGGCCACGGGAACGUUGAGAUGAGUGGGCCAGGCUGUGGUUCCAUUUUGAUUUGGCUAAGGGUGUGCUAUGCAAUGGAAAGGAGCACCAAAAGCUACCAAUUUGGCUGCUGCCUCUGAACAUUUGCUCUGCAUUCCUGAAUCCUCCCAGUUAAAGAGAACUUCCUUGCAAUUCUUUCCCCCUAGGCAAUGGGACAAGAACACACACACACACACACACACACACACACACACACACACACGAGUUAAAACCCUUUGGAAAUGAAGGUCAGCUAUUGCACAUGUACCCGUGUUCAUGUGAGUCUAUGGAGAGAAAUAAAGGACUGUAAAAAUGUGCGUGCACAUAAAAAUGACCAACAUUUUUUGGGCUAAUGUUGGUGUCUUUCAAAGGCCGAUCUUACAAUAAUAAACUCUUAGACUUUAUGGGGCUUUAGAGUUUCUAGAACAAUUUCACAUGUCUCCUCUGAUCAGGCCAGUGACUUUGUAAAAUAGGAGUUAGUUUCCUCUCCAGUUUAAAGAAAUGAAAGAUCAGAGAAGUUAAGUGACUUGCUCGAGAUUACACAGCAAUUAAUUUUGAGAGUCAGGAUGAAAAACCUGGGUCACUCCCGUCCAACCCCUCUACCAUAACGGCUCUCUAGACUUGACCUUGGAAAGACCAGAGGUUCAUUGGCAUGCGAUUCAUCUCUUUGCAGGACUAGAUGCUAGGCCUGGUGUUGCAGAGUGUGGUCUGAGGACCGGCCUCUCCUGGGAGCCUUGGAGAGCUGCAGAACUGCAGGACUGUCACAGAGCUUCAGGAUUGUCCUCUGGUGAUUUCUGCGCACAGUUGAGGUUGGGGUGCCCUGGAGGAGGCCGCUGGGUUUCAGUUUCAGCUCUGCCACACUCGGGGGUCCCCAAGUUCCAGAAGCGCAUAAGCCAGGGAGCUAAGGAGAAACCCCCUGCAUCUGGGCUGAGACCGAGACAGCGAUUUGCUUUGGAACACGCCCCCGGUGGUUCUCCUGGGCGGCGGGUUGGAGAGCCCUUGGAAUAGACGGUUUCUGAGAUUCUUUCCCUCCCGUGUGAGUCAGAGAGCCUUGUCUGUAAGGAGUGGGCCUGGAUAUGCUUCGCCCCCACCAGGCUCUAUUUAUAUUCAGUUCGCAGGGAACCCGACCCUGUUCCUUCUGCCCAGAGGUUGCACCCCUGAAUCCUCCUUUUAUAAGCAUUUCUGAGGACACCAGUCCCUCUCUGUGGAAACUGUACCAACAGGUUGCUGUAUUUUGUUCCCUUCUUCUGCCCUGGAUCCUAGGCCCGGGAAAAGGAGUUAAAAUGUCCUUUUAACUUUAAAAGGGCCCCAGGCAUAAGGCACAAAGCAUCAUGGAGGGCCCGAGGCCCCGGGGGAGGAGGGCUUACCCACAGCUGGCUUUUCAGGUAUAGCUCUCCAAAAAGUCAGCCUAUUGCAAAUAGUAGCAGGAGUGCCAAGGAGAAAGUUCCAAGCAAGAUCUGGAUCCCAGGAAAAGCCUGGCUGUUGCUAGUAAGGCAUCAAGUGUCCCCAAGACACAUUUGUGUUCAAAAAGAAAAAAAAA